GAUGUACUCCCUCCGUUCCAUAAUUCUUGUCUCAAAUUUGCCCAAAAAUGGAUGUAUCUAUUUCUAAAAAGCGUCUAGAUACACGUAAUAUUUCGACAAGAAUUAUGGAACGGAGGAGUAUAUG
rnacentral:pre_miRNA from 1 species